CGCUCGUAAGGGCGUGGCGAACGGGUGAGUAAUGGCAAGGAACGUGCCUUAUUCCGGGAAAUACCCAGCCGAAAGGUUGGCUAAUAUCCCAUAGUUCUCGCAAGAGUAAAGCUCCGGCGGAAUAAGAUCGGCCUUGCUCCUAUCAGCUUGUUGGUAAGGUAAUGGCUUACCAAGGCAAUGACGGGUAGCUGGUCUGAGAGGAUGGUCAGCCACAUGGGGACUGAGACACGGCCCUAACACCUACGGGUGGCAGCAGUUGGGAAUAUUGCACAAUGGGCGACAGCCUGAUGCAGCGACGCCGCGUGAAGGAAGAAGGCCUUCGGG
rnacentral:rRNA from 1 species